UAAAAGUUUUAAAUAAGGAAAGGCAAUUAUUUAAAAAAUAAGAAAAUGCAGAUGCCCAGGGUUUGCUACUGGAGAGAUCUGAUUCAGAAGGUCGGUGUUAAAUUGCAUUUGGACUUUUAUGGCUAAACAAAACAAAUAUUUCAAGAGGUGGGGUGAGGAGAAUGAGCUGACAGAUUCUCAGUAAUGCAGCCAAGGAUGUGAAGAGGCAGGUCCGGAGCUUGCUGGAAGGACCAACUGUGCACACU
rnacentral:lncRNA from 1 species